UGGGGGAUAUUGCACAAUGGGCGAAAGCCUGAUGCAGCGACGCCGCGUGGGGGAUGAAGGCUUUCGGGUUGUAAACCUCUUUCGCUAUCGAACAAGGCCCGCUUAGGGUGGGUUGAGGGUAGGUGGAGAAGAAGCGCCGGCUAACUACGUGCCAGCAGCCGCGGUAAUACGUAGGGCGCGAGCGUUGUCCGGAAUUAUUGGGCGUAAAGGGCCUGUAGGCGGCUUGUUGCGCCUGCUGUGAAAACGCGGGGCUUCACUUCGCGCGUGCAGUGGGUACGGGCAGGCUUGAGUGUGGUAGGGGUGACUGGAAUUCCAGGUGUAGCGGUGGAAUGCGCAGAUAUCUGGAGGAACACCGAUGGCGAAGGCAGGUCACUGGGCCAUUACUGACGCUGAGGAGCGAAAGCAUGGGUAGCGAACAGG
rnacentral:rRNA from 1 species